rnacentral:rRNA from 1 species
GGGUCAGUAGGUUGGUCGUGCCACCGGUACGUACUGGUCUCACUGGUUCCUCCUCCCUGAAGAACCGUAAUGCCAUUAAUUUGGUGUUGCGGGGAAACAGGACUGUUACUUUGAAAAAACUAGAGUGUUUAAAGCAAGCUAACGCUUGAAUACAUUAGCAUGGAAUAAUGAAAUAGGACGAUCGAUCCUAUUUUGUUGGUUUCUAGGAUUGACGUA